UAGUACAAAAAGUGAAGCAUGUAUGGCAAUGAUCAACAUGCAUAGUCUUAUGCGUAUAAAACACCAGCAGCCUAGAGGUCAAAAUGGUACUUGUGUAAAAAGUCCUGUACUGUACUGACAUCUACUCUUCUGUAGCAUUGGAAUAUAAUAAAUAUUUGUUCAGGGCUAUAACCAUUGUUUACAGGUAAUAAAGGUGAGUAAGGCUCACCCCCACGGUGGUGUCAAUGCAUUCAAAUGUCUACCCAUCAACUUUUGAUGGUACUUCCUGUGCCUACCAAGGAGACCACGGAUAAUCCGGUUUCGAUUCCAGAGAGGGGGCAUGAGAAAUGGCUUCCACAUCCAAGGAAGGCAACAGGCACACACAUUACCCAUUCCCGACCAUGGGAGGUAGUGAUGAAAAAUAACAAUACAGGACUCUUUUGAGGCCCUAUAAUUGGUAUGAGUAAACAGCCCAGGCUGGCUCUCAGUUUA
rnacentral:ncRNA from 1 species